rnacentral:rRNA from 1 species
AUGAGAAAGAAUUUAAUCUCUAUUUCUAGACUGGAAUCUAUUGGUUUUAAGGUCUUAUUUGGAGAUGGCAAAGUUAAAAUAUUGAUGAAUGGAAAUUUAGUUCAAUCAGGAAAUAGAUUUGAUGGUCUCUACUAUAUUGAGGAUUUUAUGGACAUCGAUAGAAUGGAUUGUAUGGUGAAUGAACAGAACUCGGUAGUGAGGAAUAUAGAUGGAAACAAUAAUUGUUCAGAGUCAUAUCUCUGGCAUCUUCCUUUGGGUCAUAUCUCAAAGAACAGAAUUAAAAGGCUAAUUAGUUCUGGAAUUUAA